rnacentral:rRNA from 1 species
UACGGAGGGUGCAAGCGUUAUCCGGAUUCACUGGGUUUAAAGGGUGCGUAGGCGGGCAGGUAAGUCCGUGGUGAAAUCUCUGAGCUUAACUCGGAAACUGCCGUUGAUACUAUCUGUCUUGAAUAUCGUGGAGGUUAGCGGAAUAUGUCAUGUAGCGGUGAAAUGCUUAGAUAUGACAUAGAACACCCAUUGCGAAGGCAGCUAACUACACGAUCAUUGACACUGAGGCACGAAAGCGUGGGGAGCAAACAGG